rnacentral:rRNA from 1 species
AUGGGCGCCGCGAGCAGCAGCUGCGCCGCCGGCCCGUCGUCGUCCUCGCCGUCGCCGCGGCGCCGGCCGCGGAUCGGCCUCGCCGGGUGCUUCGGGGCCGGAUCCUCCGCGCGCGACGGCGGGGGCCUCGCCGCCGCCGCCGCCGCGGCCGCCUCCUCCUCGCGCGCCCUCCAGGCAGCAACUCGGCAAGCAGAGCGAGCAGCGGCUGGGCUAGAUUUCCAGCCUUCUCUGUCUGCUAAGGAUCUUCGCCACACCAGCGAGCCAGACCCAAGAGUGCAUCCGUCUUCAAGCACCAUAAGUCACCGUCUCAGGUUCAACCACUUGGACUGUCAUGAGAACAAGGAGCAUCCCCUACGAAUUAAAGAUGCUGAAACGAGUGGUCUCGGGAGUUCAUCAGGAAAGGAUGCCAUGAUUAGGGGAAAUCAAAGUAAUGAAGCUGGCAAUGGUGAGAGAACAUCUGGAGAAGGGGUUAGUCCUAUGGCACAAGAGCUUGUAGAACCUGCACCUGACAAUGUCCAUAUUGACGCGGUUUUCAUUACAGAAGUUAGUGGCUCCAUGUCCCAGUCUGAUUUCCACUCCUCGCUGAUGGCAUCUGAAAGGAUCGUGCCUGGCUUGGAAGACGGCGAGGCAGCUCUCCGCAGGACUUCAUCCAGAGAUGUUUUGUCAAGUGAAAGAUCAGAUGUUUCUCAAUCCAGCUUAACAUCUGUGUUGCCUGCUACUUCAAGUGCAUCAUCCAUCAUUGGAGAAUCAAUUCCAGAUGCAACUGCUAGCAGAGAAGAUGUUCCAACCAUAUUCAGCGUGUCACAUGGUCAGAUUGGUGGAAGUACAGUGCAUGAAGACAUGGUUAGCAUUUUCUCAAAUGAUGGCCCAGAACACUCUAGAGAUUCGAGUAAUGGUGAAACAAGAAGAAAUCAUAGAAGGGUCCUAUGGGAUUCAUUUUCAAGACGUGGUUCUAGAGGUUAUCUAGAUUCAGACACUGAUGAUCUGGGAUUUUACAGUAGAUGGCUAGACCUUGGUGAUGAUCUUUUUGGAGAUGAGGUUGAGGAGGCACGAUACUUUCAUCGUAGACGCCAUGGUUCAAUCAGAGUAAACCAGUAUUCAAGAUCUCGGAUUAGGGAGCACCGUCGUGCUAUUUUUGAUAGUGGGAACGGACAAAGUACUGCUGCUUGUCCUUUGGGGAUUCACCAAAUUGGCAGAUGCACCUGUGAUGCAUUCUUGGUUGCUGAAGAAUCUAGUGCUCGUGCAAGUAUAUCAAGAAUUGUCAUGUUAACGGAGGCAUUAUUCGAGGUAUUGGAUGAGAUUCACCGGCAACCCUCAUCACUUUCACUUUCCAUGGCCUCUGCUCAAGCGCCAGAGGCUGUGGUUAAUUCAUUACCAUGUAAGAGCUACAAAAAGCUUGAGACAGCCCAAUGCAGUGCUGAUAUGGAACAGUGCCAUAUCUGCUUAACUGAAUAUGAGGAUGGAGAUCAGAUAAGAAGUCUCCCAUGCAAACAUGAGUUUCACCUGCAGUGUGUCGACAAGUGGCUCAAAGAAAUACACAGGGUGUGCCCGUUGUGUCGUGGGGACGUCUGUGAAGGUGUUGUUGCCUCAUGA